AACCUGUGUCUGCAGCUCUGGGAGAGGAGCUUUUCCUUUGUGUGGCCUUUAUUUGCUAAGCACUGACAUUGUAAAGGCUUAACAAUGGGUUUUGGACUGAUAGGAAUUUUUAUUCUGGCUAUUUUACAAGGUGUCCAUUGUGAUGAUGUUCAGUUGUUGGAGUCUGGAGGUGAUUUGAGACACCCUGGAGAAUCUCUUCGCCUUUCUUGCAAAGCUUCUGGAUUCACCUUAAGCAGCUACGGCAUGCACUGGGUUCGCCAGGCUCCAGGGAAGGGGCUGGAAUGGAUCUCAGUUAUUUGGGCUAGUGGUAGUACAAACUAUGCAGACUCUGUGAAAGGCCGAUUCACCAUCUCCAGGGACAACAGCAAUAGCAUGGUGCACCUGCAAAUGAACUCCCUUAAAGUUGAGGACACAGCCAUGUAUUAUUGUGCAAGAGACACAGUGAGGAAAAGGAGCAUGAGACCAGACAUAAACUUCUUCAUUCAGAUAGGCCACAUAUAGAAUGAUUUAGAGAAUGAGAUUAAGAAUAUUGGGCUGAAAGAGAUCACUUAGAGCAAACUAGUGAAGAAUGAGACUGACAGAACUUUCAAGAUUUGUGGUUUCUUUCCAAUUCUCAGUAAGCAUCUAUUCUAUCAUUCAUCUACCUAUAGGUGUUUCUCUCUCUCU